CGCUUCCUGAUUGAUGUGCGCGGCGGCCACUCGGUGAGCCGUAGGGUGGCGAUCCGCCCAAUGGCGGGAGAGCGGAGGCGGGCGUUGCCGGACGCCGCUGCCGGGCCGGGUGUUGAGGGUUUGGAAGGACCUCAGAAGGUUCUCAGACCCUCAGAAAUCUGGAUUUUUUUAACAGUGUGCUACCUAAAGGAAUAUAAGGAAUCGAUACUUCUGGCUUUCUUGCAAUUAGUUUUUUGGUAUUUGUACCUCUCAUUCCGUAGUUUUAGAUCAAGAAACAGCAUGAGCACAACUCAACGAAAGCGCCGUGGAGGAGCAGUUAAUUCUAGGCAAGCUCGGAAACGAAACAGGUUGAUGGCUUCUACCACAGAAAUGGCUUCAGAAGCAGAGCCUAUAGAACUUGAAGAAAGUGCUGGUGAAGAAGUCGUAGAUCUCACGUGUGAAUCUUCUGAUCCUGUAGUUGUUGAUCUAACUCACAAUGAUUCUGUUGUGAUUGUUGAAGAGAAUCAGCGACAAAGGAGAAAUCUUAGACUAAGAAGCCAGCGACAAUCGGACAGCUGUGUACUGAGUAGUGAUGAUGAAGAUGAACCAAGAGAUAAUGAUGUGUAUGUGACAGACAAAGUGUCUCGAGAAUUGGGACCGCUGGAAGAUGAAACCGCGAGUUCAAAGCCGUCUGGUACCGUUAGCUGUCCGAUUUGCAUGGAUGGCUACUCAGAGAUUGUGCAAAGUGGACGACUGAUUGUGUCAACCAAAUGCGGCCAUGUCUUCUGCAGUCAGUGCCUCCGUGAUUCCCUUAGGAAUGCCAACUCUUGCCCAACCUGUAGGAAGAAACUCACUCACAGACAGUAUCAUCCCAUUUAUAUAUGAGUACUUUGAUUUCUCAGGACAGACUCAACUGGAUUUUGGGGGAAAAUGUCAUGUUUUCAGUGCUCUGAAGAUGUAAAGAGCGGCAGGUUGUGCACACAUCCAAAUGAAACUGAUUUUUUUGGAGAAUAACUUGUACAUAUAUAGACAGCUUUUUUUAUGGUCCAAGCUGCUUCUUGUUAUGUCCCUGGUUAUAACGUUAAAUCUGUGACUGUCUCUAAACUAGACCAGCAGCCUGUGUCAGAAAGGAAGCAGCUAAUCCAUUUCCUUCUACUUUUUUAAUGCUUAAAUAAGAGGGUCUGAGUAUUUUGUUAUCUCUUACUCUUUAAAUUAUUCCUGCCAUCGCAUACAGAUAUGGAGUAGUUACCUUUCAAAAUACAGCUGAGCAACUUGCCAUUUCAUUACACUUUUGUUUUUAUGCUCUAAGAAGCUCAUGACUAUCUUGCUUUCUGCUAUACCAUCUUUGCCCAAGGAGGGUCCGAGUUAUAAAUGUCUGCUUUAAACCUGUUAACAGCGAAAAUCUGUGAGCUGAUGUGGAAUCCCAGAUGAGCUGAUACAAGCAGGAGUACCGUAACUAAAUGUAGAUGAGAUGAUUAAAACCAGUAUUUUAUGACCCGCAUAUGCAGUAGCUGCAUCUAUGAAGGUUGAAAUUCAGUCUAUAAAAAAAAAAAAAAACCAACCAAACAAAAAGUCCAAAAUUAAACUUGGAUGCCUUUUGGCAGUUGGUGGCUUAUGAUAAACCAUUAGGAGCACCAUUCUGUGCCCUGGUGCAGCACAAGUGUAGGACGCGUUUAGUUAACACUGAUACCUGAUGUGUCCUUGCUAUAACCUGUCCUAGGGAUCGGUAGGAAUUAAAGCAGCUCUUCUAAUUAGCUUUCUCAAGUUCUGUAUUGAAGAUUGCAACCCGAAAGUAAAGUUGUCUUUUUUAUUUAUUAGGUUGUUUAGGGAUGUUUCUGGAUGUAGUAAUAGGGACAGAGUUUUGUUCCAUAAAGGCUUGCUUAAAAAAAUGCAAUGCUUUCCCCACCCUGGUUUGGAAUAGCUUUGGUCAGUCCCGUUACCAGGAAAAAGCAGUUUCUGCGGUGUGGCAAUAUGGUAACUGCUAAAAUGUUACGUACCUUUAGCUACGGUGCGCUCCCAUUGGUAAUACGAACUACAAGCAAGGGCUACAGCAGUCUUAGGAUAGUGUGGUGACAACAGCCACUGGCACUUGUGUCCCAAAAACUGUAGAAACGAUGAAACAGUACUAAAGAUUGCUUGAAGAAUUAACUGCAAGAAGAGAAGCAGCCCAACAUGACAACUCAAGAUAUUUAAGGGCCACAGAAACAGCUUUCUCCCAGCAGCUUAACAAAGAAAAAAGUAGAAAAAAAACUGUGGCCAGUUUUCCUUGGGUGGCUACUGUACGAGAGGGACGAUAAGAAGGGGAUUUAAGGGAUUACCUCGGGAUGAGGGCGAGUCACGUAUCCGUGCAUCCUUCACAGUGUACGAGCCAUAGCCUAAAAUGACUUUGCACAACUCCCUCUGUGUAAAUAUCACUUUAUAGUUUGUGUCUCAAUAAAUAGAUCUAAUUGAAACUUAGAUACCACAAACUAUAAAAUGUUUAAUGAAGAAGUUUUUAGCUUUUGUGUACCCUGUGAAGUGCCACAGAUUUUGUGCAUCUCAAAAUGAAUUUUAAGCUCUCAGUACAUGGAAAAAUAUUAAAUGGUGUUACACGCAUUUAUUUUUUUUUUAGGGAAAAAAACAACAACCAAACAAAAACCCCCAAAAUAUUUGAGUUCCAGUGACGUUUCACAUUGGCAAGAAGUGAUAGAUAAUAUAAAGAUUUUUCUUUCAUAAUGUAAAUGUAUGUCUUGUAUAUAGUUCAACUUUUCCUGUAUUUAAUUGUAUUCAUGUCUGUCCGUCCCAUCUAUGUUGGACUCUGCUGGUAGGCAAACAGUUCUUUUAACAGGUGGAAAUAAAACUAUCAGUUUGA